rnacentral:misc_RNA from 1 species
ACGGAUAGCAAAAUGCCCGGUGCGAACACCGGGCAUUGAAAUUCUGUGAAUGAUGGUGCCGCGGCUUACGCCGGCGCGUGAUCCGGGAACACCGCUUCGAUCUUGGUCUUCAGCGUCGCGGCGUUGAACGGCUUGACGAUGUAGUUNGUUCACGCCGGCCUUCUUGGCGGCGAUGACGUUUUCCGUCUUCGAUUCAGCGGUGAUCAUGAUGAAAGGCGUGGUGGCGAGAUUCGGAUCGCCGCGCACUUCCUUGAGCAGAUCGUAUCCGGUCAUCGGCUCCAUGUUCCAGUCGGAGAUCACAAGGCCGUACUUCUUGCCGCGCAUCUUGCUGAGCGCAGCUGAGCCAUCGCUGGCGUCAUC